GCGACGGUCGCGGACGGAGACGGGCCGGAGGUGGGGGCGGCCGCCUCAAGAGGAAGGAGCUGGGAGACCGGCGGCCGCCGCGCAUCGGCGACCUCGGCCUCCCCGCGCAUCCUCCUGGCGGAGCCACCACCGUUGCUCGUCGUCUUCCGAGAGCUCGCCGGCGCAGUUGAGCGGCGAGCAGACGGGGCUGGCCGGCGGUGAGGAGGUGGCCGCCGGGCAACGCCGCUGCGGCGACGCCACGUCAAGAAUGGCGGCAGGAGUUUCUCCCUAUUUUGCUCAGAGGUAGGUUAUGCCAUGAGCAGCUAACCGCCUUCUCCGCCCUCCUCCCAUCCACGAGUGGCCGUCGAUCUGGAGCUACACACUGUUGAGGGCAUUAGAGGUUGUUAGUGUGAUGUAUGGAUCUGGAGGUUUGUCGUUUCUCUGUUGGUUUGCUUGAGUUGUGUUUUGGUUCUGCGUGCUGGCGUUUCAUAGGUGUGCAGCCAAAGCUGCAAUCAUGACUGGAAUUAUUUUGCUUGGGAAUUAGCAGAAGGGGACAACACGGGACAAGGGGCCUGGUGUCAGCAUUCGUGUCCUGUUCUACCCCAACCCGGAGCAUGGCGACGACGGUCUCUUCUGUGGCGCUUCCUAUCCCCCAUCAGCCUUGCGGCCAGGAGCAGCAGCUUGAGAGCAGGGCCAGAGUGCGUCACCGCCUUGACCAGAUUUCUUCAACCUCCCUGUCAGGUUCGACAUGCCAGUGCCGAGCAACACACCCGAGUUGAAGAAAGACCUUGAGAUUUUGCAGUGUCGGGCGGGAGCAGGUGCUAGCGCGCCUCCACGAGAUGGGCGGUGGCGUGGAGGAUGACCGACGAGCGCGACGGAGGCGGACGCAGCUGACCUCCUUCUCUCCCUGUGGGAGCAUCAUCUUCUCUUUAUUUUUACUGACUCCUUCUAAUUCCUUCCUCCCAAAUUUUAUUUUAUUUCACAGAUAGAGUUUGGAUGUCCAGGAGAUUCACCGAGAGCGACAACAACCACCAUUGGCCUUUGUGGACUCCGUCGCUGCCCCAGGCUAUGGAAUCCUCGAAGGUUGGGCAAGAACUGCAAAUAAAUAACCACAGUAUAUGGUUCUCAUCCUCCCUCAACUCAGGUUACAGUUGCUGUAUUGCAGUUACCUUCUUGGGCAGCUCUACCUCUGUCGUGAACUGUGAUGGUUUUCCCUUGCUCCAUUUGAGUUUACUACAGGAAAUCCAAUACCCCUUCUAAAAUUCAUGCCACACUGUUGCAAUGAGUUGGCGGUGGUUAAUAUAUGAGCUCAAUAGCACUAUGGGCCUCAAGAAUACCACACUUGAGGUUGCUAAUAUACCUGAUUCAAAUAUCAGAAACCAGUCAUUUGGAUAGCAGAGCAGAAUGAAAAAUUGGCUUGCAUUCCAGGUUCCAAGGCUCGCCGGGUUUUUUUUGCUGAUAAAGAGUUGCCCUCAUGUACCUGAUCAUCUAGGUAAAUAUACAUAUGCCUAAUGAGUUCUCCGCGGUCUGCCAGUCUGCAACACAUAACUCAUACAUACUUAUACACUGACAUCCAAGCCUUUAGCUUUGUGCUGAUCAUAAGCCACUGCAUUUCCAGUGGGCCAUGCUGCUGAAGCUUUAGCCCUCAAAAGAAGAUUUAAAGAGGCUGCACAUGUUCAAUGUCAGGUACAUCUCUCAAAUCUGCACUAUACAUUCUACACUUCUAUACUUUCAAUAUGCCAUUGGUUUAAUGUUUUUCAGAUUAAACCUGAUGUGUUGGUUAUUAA